GAUGAACGCUAGCGGCAGGCUUAAUACAUGCAAGUCGUGGGGCAGCAUGAAGUAGCAAUACUUUGAUGGCGACCGGCAAACGGGUGCGGAACACGUACACAACCUUCCUUUUAGUGGGGAAUAGCCCAGAGAAAUUUGGAUUAAUACCCCGUAACAUAGCGAUGUGGCAUCACAUUGCUAUUAUAGCUUCGGCGCUAGAUGAUGGGUGUGCGUAUGAUUAGAUAGUUGGCGAGGUAACGGCUCACCAAGUCUACGAUCAUUAGCUGAUGUGAGAGCAUGAUCAGCCACACGGGAACUGCGACACGGGCCCGACUCCUACGGGAGGCAGCAUUAAGGAAUAUUGGUCAAUGGACGAAAGUCUGAACCGUCCAUGCCGCGUGAAGGAUUAAGGUCCUCUGGAUUGUAAACUUCUUUUAUAUGGGACGAAAAAAGGUCUUUCUAGAUCACUUGACGGUACCAUAUGAAUAAGCACCGGCUAACUCCGUGCCAGCAGCCGCCGUAACAC
rnacentral:rRNA from 1 species